AACGAACGCUGGCGGCAUGCCUAACACAUGCAAGUCGAACGAGAUCUUCGGGUCUAGUGGCGCACGGGUGCGUGACGCGUGGGAAUCUGCCCCUUGGUUCGGAAUAACAGUUGGAAACGACUGCUAAUACCGGAUGAUGACGAAAGUCCAAAGAUUUAUCGCCAGAGGAUGAGCCCGCGUAGGAUUAGCUAGUUGGUGUGGUAAAGGCGCACCAAGGCGACGAUCCUUAGCUGGUCUGAGAGGAUGAUCAGCCACACUGGGACUGAGACACGGCCCAGACUCCUACGGGAGGCAGCAGUGGGGAAUAUUGGACAAUGGGCGAAAGCCUGAUCCAGCAAUGCCGCGUGAGUGAUGAAGGCCUUAGGGUUGUAAAGCUCUUUUACCCGGGAUGAUAAUGACAGUACCGGGAGAAUAAGCUCCGGCUAACUCCGUGCCAGCCGCCGCAGUAA
rnacentral:rRNA from 1 species